rnacentral:rRNA from 1 species
CCUACGGGAGGCUGCAGUGGGGAAUAUUGGACAAUGGGGGGAACCCUGAUCCAGCCAUGCCGCGUGUGUGAAGAAGGCCCUCGGGUUGUAAAGCACUUCAGUGAGGAAGAACGCCUGGUGGUUAAUACCCAUCAGGAAAGACAUCACUCACAGAAGAAGCACCGGCUAACUCCGUGCCAGCAGCCGCGGUAAUACGGAGGGUGCGAGCGUUAAUCGGAAUUACUGGGCGUAAAGCGCGCGUAGGUGGCUUGAUAAGCCGGUUGUGAAAGCCCCGGGCUCAACCUGGGAACGGCAUCCGGAACUGUCAAGCUAGAGUGCAGGAGAGGAAGGUAGAAUUCCCGGUGUAGCGGUGAAAUGCGUAGAGAUCGGGAGGAAUACCAGUGGCGAAGGCGGCCUUCUGGACUGACACUGACACUGAGGUGCGAAAGCGUGGGUAGCAAACAGGAUUAGAUACCCUUGUAGUC